AGUAUCCUUCUUCCACCAGGAGGAAGAAGAACUGUGUCUCUGAAGUUUGGGAAGUAUACGUAGACAUGGAGUCUGGCCUUGAGCUUUCUGUAGUAGAAAGGCCCAUGUCAGCAGCCCUUAAAGGGACAGGGUGAGGUGUACUCGGGGGAAAGAUGGUAGUAACCAUACUCCUCCCAAUUUUCCGUGAUACACCACAGUGUAAAAGAGGACCCCAGUGGUUUCCACGGCUACACAGAAAAUUCAUGGAGGGUAGCAGAAGAAGAUGAGCCAUGGAGCUGCCAGGUGGCUGCCAGUCCAAUCUUUUAAGGUUCAAUUUAGGGAAAAGGACUUUUUCUCAGUAAGCCCUGAUACCUUGAUGUGAGAAGGCCAAGAAGAAGCCUAUAGAGAUGCCCACAAGAGGAGACUAAAGCUGAGAGAAACUGAGGCCCCUGGCCCUAGAGCUUUCACUGAGCUCCAGCUGACAACCAUCAUCAAAUCACCAGCCAUGUGACUGUGCCAUGAUGGGAGGGAAUCACCCAGUGUCCAAAUGAUCUGAUGCCACAUGUAAAAGAGAAGAGCCUUCCCCUUUGAGCCCUGCCCAGAUUGCUACUCUGCACCAAGUUUGUUCUUUACUCCCAGCCUAAUGGAUGAAAUGAAACUUGGUGAGCUCCCAGAGUUGGACAACCUUCAGAAUGCUGAGACAUACUAAAUGAAGGAAGAAAGUCCUUUUGUGAGUUCUCCAAAACUCAGACCUCCCAGUGACUACAGCAAGGUCCUGUUGUUUCAGUGAAAAGCUGUUCAACUUGGUGAACCAGACAGAGAAGAGACCCUGGGCCGUAAGAGGCUUUAAAAAAUAUUUAUCCAAUGAAUGAGGAGUGAUGGAAGUGAAGAACACUAAACUCAAUUUAGUGGUUACCACUGCAUAAAGGAGAGAAAUAAAACUGCAAGAGGAACACGAGGCACCACCUGUAUCUGCAAUAUUGUGUCACCAUAAGAAAACUCUGAUAUAAAACAUGCCAAAAUACUGAGCUCUGGCAAAAAACAAAAAGCAAACAAAUUCAGCCACAGCUAAAGGCUCUGCAUGAAUUCUGUGGUCUCUAUAGGAAGUAGUAAAAUGAUCUAUGGUACCCCAAAAGCAGUCUUCAGGGGAUUUCACAGAGCAAGUAUCAGAACAUGUUACAACUCAUUUCUAAGGAAGUUCCUCUAAACUUCCUGUCUGUACCAUAAACCAUGGUCUGCUGGUCUCCUCUUCAUUCAUUCAUUCAUUCAUCCAAGAUACUUUCUGGAUGUCCCUGUCUUCAGGAAGAAGGGCUUAAUAGUGGAAUGUUAUGUGGGCAUUGCCACUGGACAGAAACAUUCUUCUCUUUGCAUAAAGUCACAUGAGUCUAAGAUAAUAAUCUGGCCUUGUUCCUCUACAGAAUGACCUCAUUGUUGGCUCAUGAAAGAAAUGAAAUAAUACUAAUAAUUCAUGCUCUUUUAAUUUCCUACCACAAAAUAAAAUUACAAAAGCAAAAUAAAAUAGAAUAAAUAAAAAUUUUAAAAGAUUACACACGAGAAGUACUUCAAAAUGGAUUAUUAACUCAGAACAUUCCACAAACUAUUAUAUACUUCUAAAAUAAAAGCAAAUUUUUAAAAAGUCUAUAUCACAGUUUAAAACAUAGAGAUCUACUUCUUUUAUCUAAUCAAAGAACUUAUAAUGACUAUCAGAACAGGGUCUUAAGAAAAUGGCAGCUUUUAUUCUCGUUCAAUGGAAUACAGGAGCCAUUCUGUGAGGAAGCCCAAACUGGGUUGUGGAGAGGUUUAUCUGGAGAAGAAUCAACAGACAACACUAAUUUGCCAGCCAUUUGAGGAGCAGUAUUGAAAGUGGAUCCUCCAUCUCUAGGUCUUCAGUUUCAGAGGAGCUGUGACUGAGGAACCACAUUUGCACCUGGACCUGAGUACUGUGUGUACAUUUACUGAGAAGACAGAGGAUUUCCAAGCAAUACAAGAAUUCUGUCACAUAAACGAUCUGAUGGGAAACAUAUCAAAGUUGCUGGAUUGCUGGUUCUGUAUGCGUGCUGGGAAACAAUCACACUCUAACUGUAGCUGCCUAGGUCUUCUGAUGCCAUGUUACAGAUGGCCUGUGACCUGGGAGCACCCAAAGCAACAUGCUGAGACUGAAUACAACUCCCUUUACUUCACAGUUCUCAUUUCCAGAGAUAUUUGCAAGGAAAGGGGACAUCUGCAAUGUUUGACAUAACAUCUUGUCAGCCAUGUGGCUGCUUCUGCAUUUCUAGAAAAAGCAAUAUGAAUGGAGGCUGGCCAGAAGUCAAGGGAAGACAAAGGAUCCAGCUGGCUUCAGCAGCUCCUGUAAUGCAGCACAAGUCACAGUGUGGAAAAUGCAGAGAAAUGGUAAAUUACUGUAGAAAGACAGACUGCCAGGCUACCUUGAUUGCCACUGCACUGGGAUUACAUACAAACUUUAUUGCACAGGUCAUAUCGAUAAUUUACUAAAUUGAAAUUUGAGCAACAAAAGAUUAAAAACCACUUAAAAAAUAGAAA
ensembl:lncRNA LINC02355 long intergenic non-protein coding RNA 2355